UCUAGCCUCCAGAACUGUGAGACAAUGAAAUUUCUCUUGUUUAAGCCAUUCAGUCUGUGGUACUUCGUUAUUGAGGCCCUAGCAAACGAAUACAGAUUUUGGCAUGAUUUAAUGCUUUCUGGACACAGAACAUCUUCCCUGAAGACUGUCUUUAUCCCUGAGUUAAUCAGUCAAGGACUCCAUUUUCAGAAAAUUCUAAGUUUAUUUCCUGGAGCAUGGACCCAAAGAAGUCCUCCUGACUUCUGAGGGAACUCUGCUUUGGAGUAACUUCUGAGCGAGCUCUGCCCGUCAAGAAGCAACAUCUCGUCGGGACGCUGAGUCCAGGCUGGCUUUCACCUCAGCUUCCUUCAGCUGAUUUUCCUUCCUUGUUCUUCUUUUUUAAAGAGGAGAUGCUGUUUGUUCUGUCAUAUGGAACUGUGAUUACUCACCAAGGAAGGAUGCCCCCUCGAGGCUGUGGCAGGAGCAGGGGAAAUUCCUCUCAACACUGGCCCCGAGGAAUUCUCGUGAUCCUGGUUUCCGUUUUGGUCAAAACUGAGAUGAAAGGACUCGACCCUGCAUUGGGGGGAACUAGAAUUUUGACCCUGAGGGAGGCAGAGCUGGAUGAAAAACGAGCCCUUCUCUGUUCUGUGAACGAGGAGGCACAUCCUGCUGUAAGUUGGACAACUGUUGUGUGUCAGACUUCUGGCUUGGAGCCCGUCCCUAAAUCUUAGCCUCGGGAGGGGAGGAGAAGCAACUGUGGAGAAGGGGCUGAUCUUUUCCCCAUCAAAGUGUUAGAUGACACUAUCCGAUGUCAGCUUAGUCUGCUUGGGCUGCUGUAACAAAAUACCACCGAGUGGGGGCUUAGGAACGACACAUAACUUACUUCUCACAGUUCUGGAAGCUGCAGGUCUGAGACCAGGGUGGCAGCAGCUUCAGUGAGGACGCUCUUCUUGGUCACAGACCUCUCUCUGUGCCCUCACACGGAGGAGGGGCUGUGGGCCCUGUGUGGCCUCUUUUAUACGGACACUAAUCCCACCAUGAGGCCAUUGCUCUCGUGACCUCAUCACCUCCCAAAGGCCUCACCUGCCAACACAAUCACCUUUGAGGGUUAGGGUUUCAACACGAAUUUUGGGGCAACACAAAUAUUCAGACCAUAGCAUCUACCUGCAUUUUGACUUUGUGUGUUUGUAAUAGUUAUUAGAAAUGCAAUUAGAAAUAGCAGGUUUCCUAGAGAAAGUUUCCAGUUGGUAAAAAUGGGACAACUUAUCUUGGAUGAUGACGGAAAUUUCUAGUUGAAGGAUUUUUUUUACAUCUCCUUACUUCCAGCCACUCUGAUAUAUGUAACUCUGUGAACUUCAUUACUUCUAGAUUUGGUAUUCUCUAAAAAAUUAAAAAAAGAAAUUAAAUUACGCACAUGAAAUCGACCGUAUUAACCAUUUCUAAGUGUGCAGCUCAGUAGUGUUAAGUAUAUUCACAUCGUUGUGCAACCAGUUUCCAGAAUUCUUACUUCUUGCAAAACGGAAACUCCCCAUUCCCCCCUCCCCCAGCCCCUGGCAGACACCCUUCUACUUUCUGUCCCCGUGAAGCUGAUGACUCCAGGAGCCUCACGUAGGCGGCAUCGUACUGUGGUUGUCUUUCUGUGACUGGUUUAUUUCACUGAGCAUAAUGUCCUCAAAGAUUUGGUAUUCUUUUAUUUCAUCUUUAAAAUAAUAUUUCCACUUAACAUCAGAGGGAUAGCCCAUUCAAACUUUGGAAAGGUCAUCGAUAGAAUGUGAAAAAUAUUCUCUAAGCCUGGACAUUUUAAAGGCAUGUAUGUAUCUGGAAAACAGCAUGCUGCUAACAGCAGAGUGGGACAUCUCGGAGGUGAAAGUCACAUGGGCUGACGCCUCCCUGGUGAAGGCAGAGGGGCCGUGUUAAGUGGUGCCAGCCGGAGACCUCGUGUGCAGCAGGGAGCUGAGCCUGCAGGCCUGGGACCAGGGGCAGGGGCGCUCUGCAGAUGUGCCUGCUUGUGGUGGGUGCCCGUGGUCACACUGCUCCCCCGGGGCUGCUGCAACAACUGCCAGCGGAGUGGGUCUGGCAGCCGCGCCAGAGGGGGACAUCUGCCUGGGCUCUCGCCGGAAUGGGAGGACAGGGGGCAGCUGCAGAGAAGCAGAGACGAGGGCAGGAGCGGAGGAGAUGGAAGGCACGCCCUCGACCUCCAUCUCUGCCUCCCGCCCCAACACAGGCCCGCGGUUUGGUCAGGGAAUUCCGAGGAAGCUGUUCCAGUCCUAAGCAGCUGUCCAGCCGAGUCGCACAAAUGCCAGAACCAGGGGGACGGGAGGGGGACACCAGGCCGUUCGUCUCCCAGGCGGGGCCUUUAGACUCUUCUUGGAGUUUCCUUAGGUCUCGGCAGUCAAGCAAAUAAUCUCUAAGCACCGUGACAUCAUCUUUUUCAAAGAAAUGCAGUUUGCUACUGGCAAUAACACAGAUUUCCCACCCACAAGAGCCCAUGUGUUUUCUCACUAUUUAUCAGAACUUUACACUCUGAUGAGUGAUGGAAUACAGUGGCCAUUUGUUACUGCUGUGGCAUUGUUUGCUGUCAGGAAUGACACUGGAACAAAGAGGUAAUCAGUUAAACGAUUGCAUUCAAAAUUUAUUCUCUCUGGAGGGAGUAUACACACACUCACAUAGCAAUAGGGUUAAUGUGUGCAGCCUUUAUAAAUGAUCUGUGUAGUAAUUUUCACUUUAAAAUACCGUGUUCCCAUCCGUCGUCUCAUUCGGGUGUCACGAGAAUGCUUAUAGGGUUGCUGCAGUUGGCAAGAACGAGACUUAGAGGAGAAAUGCUUGUCCGUGGCCGUAUAGGAGGUCCACUGGGGCUGCAAUAUAGGCCUCCCGACUCUUAAACCAGAGCUUUUCCCUCUAAACUGUACUUGAGAAGAAGAACGUGUCAGAACCAGAGCAAGAGAUAGACUGUUUCUCCUCCUGACUGGCAGGGCUUCUCCCACGUCCAGCCCGAGCAAUCCUGAGGUGUCCAAUUAGCAAUGACUUGAAAAUCAAGGGGAUGUAACUGUGAGGUUGAACUGUGCAAAACUGCCAUUUUUAAACAGGUUAAAGUAUUCAAGUAUCAACAAUUUCAUGUUUCAAAUGAAUCAGUCUCCCUAGAUUUGCAUAGGUUGCAUUUCCCAUGCAGCAUCAAAUUGGUCAUUUUGUUGGUUAAUUUGGCCCGUUGCUUUCCUCUCCAUUUUGCUGCCCCUUGAUCCGCUCUGCAGUGGCAGCAGAGCAUUAUUUUCGUGGCCUCCAUGACCAAAUGGAGCCAGCCACAGAGGCAGCAGGCCAAACUGUGCAGUUAAACCCAAACCAGGCGAUUCAGGGUCAUGUAAAUAUGACUCACGAAUGACCAGCCCGCAGGAAGUUUCAACAGGUCUAACUGGCUCCUUGUUCCUGCACAUUUUACCUGUAAAGGGAACUAAAUUGGUACUCUUUUCCAUUCAUCUGGCAUAUUUGAUGUAUGUGUUCUGGUGAGUGGGAGACAGCUGAUUUCCAAGGCUGUUGCAGAGGGAUGAUUAGAAAAGCAGGAGGGUAUCUUGGCCAAAUGUCAAGAAUGAAGGAAGGGGCAGUGAGUCAAGUGGCUAAAGAGACGCACAUUAGAGUCAUUCAUUCUUAACCGCUUGGCAGAAGCUGGAACCUCGCACCGCUGGCCAGGCUUCCCACCAUCUGGAGCGAAAUCAGGACACUCCCACCAGGGCUAGAAGGGCUCCAAGUGGGGGCAGCUGACAGAAGGGCCACGGCCGCAUGGCAGGAACACAGACAGAGGAGGACAGUGCUUUCUGCAUUUUCUUUUCUGGUUAUGAGAUGCUUUUGUGAACUGCUGGAGACUGGUCACAGAGUGAUUAAGCUGGACAGCUUCUGGCGCUGCUGCCCUGGAGGUGCAGUGUUUUGAAGGUGCUGCACCCCAGAUUUCUCAGGGUCCCUUUUCUGGCAAUAAAGGCUUCAUUUCUCUUGGUACUCCACAUGGUCAGAGCCCAGGCUGAAGAACCCUGAUUCCCACGGCAAAAUUACAGACCCAGCGAGCUAGAGUUAGAAAGACAGGGCCCGGGCAGCGUCCACAAGCCCAGUUCCAACGUUGCAGAGCCUGCUGGAGGGAAGCAAAGACUUCCAUAAGCCAAGGGAUAGAGGCAUGCAGGAGGUCAGCUCUCCGGGGAAAAUGCACGACGACUCUGAUUUGUAACAUCUGCUGAUUGCCGUGGUGUCAAAAUACUCCCACUGUGACCAGUUUCAAACCACCAAUAGUUUAACAGCCGGCUUGCAAAAUUUCUGGAUGUUUGAUAAUCUUUCCCCAGCCUGGACAGCUUGAACGCAGCAUGACUUGGUGGCAUAAAAACUAGAGUCGGGCAAAUGCACGAGCUGAGGUUUAACACGAGGGGUCCUGGCGUGGAAGCGUCUCAGGGCCGACUGUCCCCUCCGUCUCCUGCUUCCCUCCCUUCCUCCUAAGCUUGCUCCCUGGACCAGUCGCUACUCGGGACAAGGGUUCUGGUCUCAGGCUCUGACCUUUAACACUGUGCCCGCCCAGUCACAUCCCGAAGCACCCAAAGCCCCACGACUUCCUAGAUGAGCUCACACAGGUGCUGGGCUCUCAACCGCUCUCCCUGUACCCAAGCCAAGGGCCUACCUGCCAGGAGGCUGCUGCAAGCCUCCUGUUGGGACACUGGUGAGGGGGUCCCAUAGCUGGAGCAUGGGUGGUCUCAGAUGCCUCCCCUAGUGGUCCCUAGGUGGAGUUUAAAAUGGCACCUCCAUGAGUAAAAAUUCAGUUAACUUGUUAGGAAGGUAGAACCCAGCUUUUUAUGUAGGAUGGGUUUAUUCAGAAAGAAAUUCCCAUGACUCCCAACUGAAAGAAUUCAGAAUUUAAUGAUAAAUCUAUCUUCCAAUUAUGCACACUAGGGCUGUGUCAUCUGCAUUUCGGCAAACACAUUUUUAGCUAAGCCUCAGGUUCCUUAUUUGUGAAACUGAGUGGCCAUAGUGAACUGACCUGUAAGGCAUCUGUCUGUUCUAUGCUUCUGGGAUUCUACUUACGGUCAGUGCACGUUUCUCUACACUUCUCUAUAUGGUUUUUGGUCCUUUAUAAAUUUUAUCGUUGUUUUUUUCUGCUCCUGGGACAUCUGGUAUUCCACUAAACAUCAUUAUUUAGCUGUGCCACAAAUAACUGUUUUUUGGCUAAAUGAACUCGGAGGGCAUUCUAGGUUAAACCAGUACUUUGCUGAGCAUCUUCCUCAGAAUCUCUGAUAUUCUAGGGUGCAUUGUGUAACUCCAAAAGGGAAACUUAAUGCUCAUGGAUUCCCAGACUUUUUGAUCUCAAAUGGUUUUUUUCUAAGGACAGUGUAUCAAUCUUCCAGGGCUGCUGUAUCAAAAUGACAAAUUGGGUGGCUUAAACAACAGAAAUUAUUUUUUUUUCAUGGUUUUAGAGGCCGGAAGUUCAAAAUCGAGGUAUUGGCAGGACUGUGUACUCCCCGAGGGGUGAGUCUGUUCCAUGCCUUUUCUUCAGCUCCUGGUCUUGCCCGCAGCCCUUGGUGUUCCACAGCUUGUAGAUGCAUCGCUCCAGUCUCUGCUCUGUCACACGUGCGAUCUCUCUUUGUGUCUCUGCAUCUUUCCUCUCCCAGGAAGGCUGCACAGACACCAGUCACACUGCAUUAGGACCACCCUAAUUGAAUACGACCUCAUCUUAACCUGAUCACAUCUGCAAAGGCCCCUUUUCCAAAGAAGGUCACAGUCACAGGUACCAGGGGUACAGAUGUCAACAUACCUUUCGCGGGACGCAAUUCAACCCGCAACAGCCAGCCAUUAAAAUUUCCUAAAACUGGUGGUCCAGCAAACACAUUUUGGGAAAUGCUGUCCCAGGAGCUUGUAAUUAGGAUUCACUCACCAGGUAUGUGGUCCAACCCUUAGGUCAAGAGUUCUUAACGUGAUAUCAAGGGGUUUGUGCCCUUGGAUGAGAAAAAAAUUGUAUCUUUAUUUGUACUGUUUCUGAUUGAAAUUUAGCAUUUCCUUCAUUUUUCAGUGUAGGCAACAAAGCAAAGUAAUAUCACUAGUACUGUGACUUUGUCAGAGUUUUCCACCUCAUACUACAGUUAUUGCAGGUCUCUUGGGACAUCAUUCAUAAAUCAUCACCAUCUCAAAAUCACAGUGGGUGUGAGACUCGGCACUAGAUCUUAUUUAAUGGGUUAACAAGCAAACACAUAAUGCAGAUCUGUUUUAGUAUUUUGAUAACUGUAUUUCAACCUCAUCAGUUUCCUUUGUAAUCCUUUAUAUUUUCUUUUAUACACUUAAAAACACUAUUCUGAGCAGACUGUAGGCUUCACCAUUCAGCCAAAGUCCACCCUGACCCAAAAAAGUUAAGAGCCUCUGUCCCCACUCAUGGCCCCCAUGACUGAUACAACCCAGCUUCCGUAGAAGGGUUUAGCUGAGAGACAAAACACUAGCAGAAUCUUUCCAUUUUUACAAAUAAAGAAUUAAUACAUAAGCCAAACACAAAUAUUAUAAAAUACUUUAUUUGUAAAUGAAAUACCCAAUUGGGGCAAAAUGUAAAAAUGAAAUAGACAUAGGUACAAUAAGUUAUACAAGAAUCUUCAAUUAUCGUCGCUCUGUAUUGAUUAUAAAUAGAUCACAUUACCAAGGAAAGCAUUGUCUAGGUGUUGGGAUAAUUUAGUUAAAAGUAUCUGAAUAACUUACUAGACACAUUCCUCUUGGUGUGUGAACAAAUGUAUCAAAUAAUUGAACAUACUCAACUAUACUCCCUGUGAAAACUGCAAAGUCCUGGUCAGACGAGGCUAAACCUCUGAGCUGCAUGAAUGAGCUUGGUCACAUUGUGGUCCAGUCUUGGAAGGAUCACUGACACAUAACCCCUGGAGCACUUUGGCCUCGGUGAAAGCACCAGAGCGUCGAGAGGCUGAAUUCCAGCUGGGCUCUGCCCCUGAACAUUUAAGGAACUAAGCACGUCGUCUGAUUCUGAGCCUGUUUCCUCAUCUGUGAAAAAUGGGGAUGCUGGUGUGUGUCCUUUCUGUCUCCCAGGGCAACUAGUAGAUUUGAUUGAGAUAACCGAUGUAAAAGUUCUUCGUAUGUAGAAGUGCUGUAUGAGGAUGAGACAUAGAACUAUUCUUUCAUUCUUUAAUGUGCCAACAUCCAAAUGGGCAUAAAUUGAUGGCAUUCUCUUGUAUAUAAGGAGAAAAUUAAUAUAUAUGUAUUUUUUUCAUGGACACUCAAAUGCCAGUGUCCCCCCCCCCGCCAUCAUUAAGUGCCUGGAAAGGCAUUGGAGGUCCCAGCAAGGCUGCAGGGAAGUGGGCCUGGGUGCUCCUGGGCUUCCGUUUGCCACCUCCUUCCCCUCAAGGUGCCCCCCCCCCCACCUAUCUCCUUUCUGCCAAGCCCUCCCUUAUGUACUCCCCGCGCCCCAGCCUGUGCUUCCCACCUUCCUGUCCUUCAGAAUGUUCCAUCUUGCAGUUUGUUCCCACGGGGCAGUGGUCCUCACUGUUGGCUGGACGUUAGAACUAUCUGGGGAGGCUUUUCUCUGUCCUGAUGGGGGGACCCCCACCCAGAUGACUACAUCAGGGUCUCUGAGGGAGGGCCUGGCGUCAGUAUUUUAAGGCGCCCCCGGUGCAAGUGCCACCCGGGUGUUGCCUGGAGGUUGAUCGGAAAAUUGGAGUCCCUGUUCACCUGCAGCCAGCUAUCCCUCCCAGGGAGGCUUUGUUUAACUCAGGCCAGCCGUCUUAAGUUUUCUUAAAGAAGGUUCCCCCAGCGCACCUCACUCCGGUUCCCACUGCUUCCGUCCACCCUCAUGACAUUCUCCGGGAGCGUUAUCCUCAUUCCAAUCCAUCCCCCUAGGGAGACUCAACCACUUAAACGUGGUUUAAGCCGAAGCCAUGCACUUCCUUCCCAGAGCAUCGAGGUGCCUUUCUGAGGAACAGGGCCUCCUGCUGAGAUGGGCAGCUGCCCCAAGCCCUGCAUCCGGGCUCACCUGGAUGCCUCGCCUGCGCCUCUGUGUUCCGCUGCAUCAGGGAGAGGAUUUCGGAGAGGAGCUGUGGCUUCUGCUCCCUUUACACUUUCUCGCGGCCAGUUCUCUCCUCCACUGCUUUGCACAUUCAUAGGGAGGGCUGAAGGCUGGAGCUGGGGGAACUGUUUCCAAGCAGGCAGGUGCACAGCCCUGCAGCCUGCAGGAACAUGCUCAGCCCAGGAGUGUUAGCUCUGCACCUGCAGUCUUGUGUCUUCCUCAACCUGGGCCCCUCAUCUAGGUGUUCCAGGGGUCUGCAUCCGCCCUGCUCGGGGCGCAGGCACGAUCCCAAGACGCUGUUGCUAUUGCCCCGUGGCAGGGUUCUGACCUCCUGAGUCCUAGGCGGCUGCCAUCACCAUGGGAUUUAAAGGCCAUAUAGAAAGGCCCCCCACUGGGUCCCUCUAGUCUUCCCAGGUCCCCGACACUCCCACCUUUGAGAGCUGCUCCUUUGCCAAAUCAUUGCAUCUCCAAGAGCCCUGGGUUGGAAGGUUUGCACCCUACGAGGACUCAUCCAUUCAUCUCUCAUCUGAUGUUGCCCCUUCCGGAGCCCCGAACUGAAGCAGGAAUGUGCUCUGAGGUCUGGACUCGCACUUGUGUGCUCUUGGGCAAAUCACUCACCUUCCUGAGGAUCAGUGUUCUCAUCAAAGAAACAAAGAUUUUCAUAUUUUCCCCACAUAUUUCUACAGGACUGUGGUUGAGAUCAUUGGAGAUAACAGACAAGAAAUGGAUUUUUCUACAGCAAAGCCCAUUUGACAACGUGUAAGACAGUUUCAUUACUGUUAUCAGAAAAAAAAAGUGUGGGUCUGCUUUGUGCACUGCAGCUCGCUGACGGCGAGGGGCAGAGUUUGGAGGAAAAAGGUGCUGCAGUGGAAGCUCAUGAUGUCCUGAGGGUGAGCCCAGGGUCAUGGGAAUCUGGAGAAGACAGCCUGAGUGGGGAGGAGAGAAAAUUAGUUGGGAAAUGCUGGCCAACUUCCCUUAUUCCACAUUGUGCCAGGAGCCAGCUCAGCCACCACUGGGAUAGGUGAUGAAGAAGCAGCAAGCCCUCCGCUAGCUCCCAUGUGCGUAUUUCAGACUCAGCAGGAGGGUGGGCCACUGACAAGAAUAAUACAGACCAGCAGGCAGGGCAGGAGACACCCGAAAGGAAAACAAGGAAACAGGUUUGAGCUGGGCCUGGCCUCCUUGGCGUGGACUGCCUGACUGGCACCAGGCUUCUAGGGUGGCCCUGGGUGUGGUGCUUGAUGGGGCCAGUAGAGCAUCCACCAGGCUCAGCACCCAGGCCUUGGGGAAGCUCACUUGUGCAGGGGGGUAGGACCUUAGCCUUGCAACCAGGCUGGGUGAGGCAGGCUCAGUGCAGAGCACUUCCUUCUUUGGGGGUCAUGUGUCCCUUGUGAUUAGAGAGAUUGGGGCACCUGCUUCUUCAGGACCACCUUGUGUGGUCCAGGCUCUGCCCUGUCUUCCCAAGAGACUGUGCCUGUAGGCAAGUCACAUCACCUCUCCAGGCUGUCCUGUUCAUUUCUGUAAGGCGAGGAGAGUGGCCAGUAUGACCUCCAGGAUCCCUUCCAGCUCGGCAUCAGGUUGCCCUAUGAUCCAAGCCUAGUUUCUAAGGAACCCGAGAAACAAUAUGGCGUAUAUGACUGGAGCCCAUGGAUUGAGUGUUUAAAUUUUUUCUGAAAUUAUAAGAUCUUUCACAUUAAAACCAAUACUGAAGUAUGGCAUGCCUCAAAAAAUUAAACAUAGAAUUAUCAUAUGAUCCAGAAAUUCCACUUCUGGGUAUACACCCUUAAGAAUUGUAAGCAGAGAUUCAUACAGUUGCACACCAAUGUCCACAGCAGUAUUAUUCACAACAGCCAAAAAAGGUGGAAACAACCCAAAUGUCCAUUGAAGGAUGAAUGGAAACAAAAAGUGAUACAUACACACAAUGGGAUGUUAUUCAGUAUCAAGAAGGAAGGGAUUCUGACACGUUCUGCAAUCUUGAGGACAUUAUGCUCAGUGAAGUAAGCCAGCCACAAAAGGACAAAUACUGUAUGUGUACCUAUAUGAGGUACUUAGAAUAGGCAAAUUCAUAGAGACAGGCAGUCGAAUGCUGGUUACUAGGAUCUGAGGGAGAAGAAAGUGGGGAGUUAGUGUUCAAUGGGUGCAGAGUGUCAGUUUGGGAAGAUGGAAAGUUCUGGAGAGGAUGUAGGUGGGGGCUGUACAACACUGUGAGUGCACUUUACACCCCUGAAAUGGACACGUAAAAUGGUUAAUUUUAUGUAUAUUUCAUCAGAAUAAAACAAAUACUGGAAUA